rnacentral:rRNA from 1 species
GACAGAGGAUGCAAGCGUUAUCCGGAAUGAUUGGGCGUAAAGCGUCUGUAGGUGGCUUUUUAAGUCUGCCGUCAAAUCCCAGGGCUUAACCCUGGACAGGCGGUGGAAACUACCAAGCUGGAGUACGGUAGGGGCAGAGGGAAGUUUCCGGUGGAGCGGUGAAAUGCGUAGAGAUCGGAAAGAACACCAACGGCGAAAGGCACUCUGCUGGGCCGACACUGACACUGAGAGACGAAAGCUAGGGGAGCGAAAUGGGAUUAGA